AGACCGAUAGCGAACAAGUAGAGUGAUCGAAAGAUGAAAAGCACUUUGAAAAGAGAGUUAAACAGCACGUGAAAUUGUUGAAAGGGAAGCGUUUGCGACCAGACUCGCCCGCGGGGUUCAGCCGGCAUUCGUGCCGGUGUACUUCCCCGUGGGCGGGCCAGCGUCGGUUUGGGCGGCCGGUCAAAGGCCCUCGGAAUGUAUCACCUCUCGGGGUGUCUUAUAGCCGAGGGUGCAAUGCGGCCUGCCUGGACCGAGGAACGCGCUUCGGCUCGGACGCUGGCGUAAUGGUCGUAAAUGACCCGUCUUGAAACACGGACCAAG
rnacentral:rRNA from 1 species